GUAAAUCUAUCGUAACCGAGCGGCGUCUCUGCAGCGGCCGAGCGGUGGGACUCGAUGUCUCCACCGCUCUCGUCGCUUCCCCGGCUCGCGACAGCAUACAGCACGCCGCCGGUGUGGCGUCCAUGGGUGAGUGCCGUUGAUGCGCGUGCGUGCGUGGCCGGUGGCAGCGCGGCGCUCUAAGCGGACCGACACGUGACGGCGUUGGUGUGCACUCAAGAAGGUUGCGCGUGGCGGGUGUCAGCUGGACGCUCGGUGUGUACGUGGCGGCACUUCACGACGAACUAGGGGAGGUACCUGAGCACGAGCGGUAGCGUCAGGCAGCGGGACCGGUGCUUCUCCCGGUUCUAGGUACCUCGACGAGCACCCCACUCGUAUAGCAGGAGCACGAGGAGUUAAGACGACCCCAUAGGAAACCCGACCCACCGUCUCUACCGCUUAAGGAGGAGCCCACAGAGUCCCACCAUGUGGAGGAUAUAAAACUCUUUAUUUUGAAUACCAAUAUACUAUAGUAGAUUCCACUUUGCAACUUUCCCGAGAACCUAACAUACGGAGCGAGUCCAACCACGCCAGAAUAUAAAGUUCUUUAUUUUAGAACACCAAUAUACGAUAGUCAAUUACACUUGGGCACUUUCCGGCGAACUUAACAUACGGAGCGAGUCCAUUACUUAGGAAACACGUCUCUCGAGAAGAACUACGGGGGUAUUCAUUACUUAAACGAUGUGUCGUUUUUUUUUCAUCGAUAAACAAAAUACCCUGGGACGAACGAAUAACAUAAUUUUACUGCUAUACCGAAACAAAUACACCUUAUAGUAGGUCCAUAAAUUUCCAGCAGGUUCAUGUGUAAAUCUUAGACAAUCCCCCCCCCCCACACGCGUGAAGAGAUCAUACCGGUCCAUAAUCAGCUGUUUACUUAUAUGUAGUUUUCCGUGGUGAAAUGAAUGUCAAGAAGCUCGAAACAUCCGGAGUUGUCUUCAGGGAACCGGUUCGAAGUAACAUUACGGAUUGAUUGAUGAGGGAGGCAGGUUUUUAUGAACAGUAGUUUUACCUAUUUUUCUCUACAUAGAUCUUGAUUUUAUGUAGAUCUAUGUAGGGGAAAAGAGGUAAAACUACUGUUCAUAAAGGCCUGCCUCCCUCAUAAAUUGUUUGUUGAAACAGUUGAUUAUUUUCGUUGUGACGUCCAUUUAUUUAAGUAAAAGUGUACAAUACCAUUCGACCGAAGAAGGUCGAGGGGUUUUUUGACUCAUGAUUAUAUGUCUCUUCCAAAUAUUAAUAAUUCCGAUGAAGUGUUUAAUAAAACCCUUACCUGAUUUGUAUAGUCCUAUAUGUGGUAGUAGAUGAUUAUGAGAUGAUUUACUUGAUAGUUAAGUGAAGAGAUCAUAAAUUUAAUAUGUACAGUACCUUACUGAUUGUCAUGAACAAGAAGAGAGUUUCUACAGUUGUUUUAUGUCGGUCAUCUCUUCAAUCUUCCUAAAACUCGAGAUUUCAGGUCCAUAGUUAGGUGAACUGACGUGGCUAGAGACCGGUAAAUUAAGUACUUAGUUGCCUAAAUAGAUAUUCUCUCAUUAACAGAUAUUCUAUCUUGAACGAACGUACGUAAAGUAUCUAUUAUUUAGACAUUUCUCUUCUAUCCUCCAUUGUAUGUAUAGACUUAUAAAUGUGAAGUAUAUGUCUGGGUUAUGUAGAAGUUAAGUCUCCAUCCUAUCUUCUGACAAACCAGUCUAGAGGUAUCGAUGUUUUUAGAAGUUAUUAGACACUUGAGGCAGUCUAUCAUUAUAAUUUUUAAGGAAUAAAAUAACUAUAUAAGUGUAGAUCUAUUUCCUCCAUGUACAGGUGUCCCUUCCUUUUCGUCGGUAAUUAACACGAUUUUACCGGAGUCAGGUUUCUGUGAGAGAUUUCAUUUUAAAUCUCGUGUUUGACUACUUCAGAGAGACUUCAUUUAAGAUUUUAUGUAUUUUACCGUGUGUGAGAGAUUUCAUUUUAAAUCUCGUGUUUGACUACUUCAGAGAGACUUCAUUUAAGAUUUUAUGUAUUUUACCGUGCCCUUCACACCUCGGGAAGGUAGAAUAAAUCUACUAGAGACCUUCUCAUCACAAAACAGGAGAACACCUAUAAAUUUAAUGUUAAUGGGAUUUUUCACUUCAAUUGAGCACUUAUACACGAAAUUCGUCUAGGUUGAAGUAAUCAAAACUUUUAUUUUGUUAAGAGAAGUUACUAUAUUUAAAUAUGAAGUAUAAACAAGUCUGUAACAGUUAAGUUAAAAAACCAUGCGCUAUGUCGAUUUUUUUCAACAUCAACUGUUUACUUACGGGUAGCCUACCAUGGUGAAACUAUGUCACGUAGGUCGGAACAUCCGGAUUUUUUUACGGGGAAGCGGUUCGAAGUGACACUACGGAUUGAUUGAUGAGGGAGGCAAGGUAUAAACAAUUAACUAUUUGACUAAAGAAGGUCGACGGGUUUUUUGUCUCAUGGUUAUGUGUACUUCCGAUAAAUCAACAAUUCCGUUGAAAUGUUUAGUAAAUCCCUUACCUGAUUUGUGUAUAUGUGGUCAACUUACGCUUCUUUUCUUUAGUAAAUAGAUGAUUAUGAGGUGAUUUACUUGAGGUUGUUAAGUGUAGAGAUCAUAACAUAAUAUGUACAGUUUCUUACUGUUUGUCAUGAAUAAGGAGGGAGCUUCAACAGUUCCUUUAUGUUGGUCAUCUCUUGGAUCUUCCUAUCACUCGAGAUUUGAGGUGUAUAGAUUCCCCCAUUAACGUCUAUUCUAUCCUGAACGAACCUACGUAAAGUAUCUAUUAUUUAGACAUUUCUCACCAAUCCUCCAUUAGGGAAACAUUUGAUUAUAUUCUGGUAAAUCUAGUGUUGAAAUCACUAGAUUUCAUCAUCAGAUUUACCAGGAUAUAAUCAAAUGUUUUCCCCAUUGUAUGUAUAGACUUGUAAAUGUGAAGAAUAGAAGUUAAGUCUCUAUUCUGGCUUAUCAGAGACCAGUCUAAAGGUAUCGGCGUUUUUCGAAGUUAUUAGACACUUGAUACAUUCUGUCAUUAUAAUCUUUGGGGAAUAAGAUAACUACAUAAGUGUAGUUUUCUUUCCUCUAUGUACAGUUGUCCCCUUUUUUUGGUUGGUAGUCAACACGAUUACAAUGGUGAGGUCUCACCGGAAUCAGGUUUCUGUGGUGGACCUAAUUUAAAAUCUUGUGUUAUUCAAAGCCAAUUGACCACUUGCGAGAGACUUCACGUUAAAUUUUGUAUAUUUUACCGUGCCCUUCACACCUCGGGUAGGUCGACUGACUCUAGUAGAGCUCUUCUCACCACAAAAACGGGAGAAUACCUCUAAACUUUCUCGUUAAUGGGGUUUUUUCACAUCAAUUGACUACUUAUGCACAACAUUCGUCCGGGUUCAAGUAAUCAAAACUUUUAGUUUUUUAAGGGAAAGUAUUAUAUUAAAAUAUGAAGUAUAAACAAGUCUGUAACGUUUAAAUAAAAAAACCAUACUUCAUCUUGAUUUUUCUUGACAACUAUGUAGUAUAUACAUACGUACUAUAAUAUUUCGUAGCUAUCUAAAAAAAAUAAAUAACUUUACGAGUGAGAACACUUAAAUCAUCGUCAAAUCAUGCUUCAGGACCUAGCGAUCGACUACCACUACUUUGUGUGCGAUAAUGAUAACUCGACGGGUCUGUCUUCGUCAGGGCGAAGUCUAUGUCAGUGUGAUACAUACCCUGUGAAGUAUCUCUCUCUCUCUCUCUCUCUCUCUCUCUCUCUCUCUCUGGGUGGUCCAGUGGUGGUACGUCGUCGUGACUUGAUGAGGACACUUUCAUCCACUACGUCGUCGUACGUCCGGCCCUUUGCCUUCUGCCGUACCUCCUUCGUGUGCUUCUUCUGCUGGGUGCGCGUGCUGUCGGUCUGGCUGUUCUGCCUGCUGCUACUCGUUUGCGUCGUGAUAGGCCGCUUAGUCAUCUUGGUCGUGGUGCGGGACUCGGUGGCGCUGCUGGUUGGUUUUCUCGUGCCCUCGGUGCUCCUGCGGGUCCUGCCGCGUUUGGUAGUGCUGACGUACUUCCUCGUUGGUAGCUCGUUAUCCUCUCUUUACUCUCGUGUGCGUGCUGGUCUUCUCUUUUCGGUCGGGUAUAUAUCGUGGAGUGGUACGAUCUGUUGAGAUCUUGGGUGCUCAUGUAGUUAUGGCUGCCUUUCGCUACGUGUGCUACAUCUUUAUGGUCUGUUUCGCCGUCCCUAUGCAGUCAAACAUGCCACUUUUGCUGCCUUGCUUGCGGCGUGCUUUAUAGGCCUGCCGCGUUGGCGUGGCGGAGCUGGCUAAUCGAAACGGAUAGUGCAGUGGCGGUAGUGACGUACCUAGUCGCGUGUUUAGAACAGCGAAAUGAGGACCUUCGUUUGCGUUGAGAGCGUCCGUCAAGGCUAACCACCUGGCGCAGCAAGCUGGCUAGGGCUACGUACCGUGGCGGGCUGUACGUAGACCUUGGUUCACGGUCAGUUGACACGUCGGAUCUAAGUAGUGUAUCGAUGCCGGUUGUGGAAAACAGCGGACUGUCGACGUUAGUUCACGUUAGUUUACCGGGUAAGGUUAACCAGGCGAACGAUGGUGCGCCGGAGUGGGUUAAUCAGACGUACGUACGUUGUUGAGCUAAUUAGUCGAUUAGGUAGAGAAGAAAAACGGAACUUAAAAGAUGCCAAAUAUAAGUACUCAUAAAAUAUCAGCAAACUAACUAGAUCACAGUGCGCAGGGUAAUUGUCGAGAGAGAACAAUAAUGGACACUGGUGAGACUAUAAUUGAUUAUUGAACUGGUAAUACCUGUUUGGAUUGUCACCAAUACGAAACGUUUGCACUACUUGAUAGACAAAGUUUGUAUACGAUCUUACCUGUCACUGUGUGCGAUUUUUUUGUUGGUGCAGCCGUCUUGGCUUUCGCUAUCGUGUACUCUUUCUUUGGUGUAAGUUUGUUGGUUUUCCCUGUCGUGUAUGCGUGUGUGUUUGUGUCUGCUUGUCUAACUCGGUUUGUGUUGGUUUUUUGCGAUUUAGUUGGUUUGGUUUACGGUGUGGGCAAGUUUUUUAAAGUUACUUUAUUUACCUAGGUGCUCUGCAAACAUGUGGUGGUGUAGGGUUUAAUUAUGGUGCACGGUACAUAUCCAAAUGACAUUCCAGAAAAAGUCCGUUCACCCACUUAGAACUCCGUUUUUGGAAGAGACCUUAUCUACGAACCCAUAUGAUGUUUAUAACCAUGUUAGAUGACUAUGCUCGUAAGUGUGAUCAUCACACGCACAGUGAACCAACUUAUGUCUUCCUGUUAUAAACGUGAAUAUGUAGACGAUGUUGGAUGUCGAAAGAGAUCUGCUCUCCGAAAAACAAUUUUUUUUACCUCCUCCUGGGGACCGGAACGUAGACCUGCUAUGUACAUCGAUAAAAUAAUUAAUAAGUGUGUAUUGGAAUAUUUCAGUAUGUUUUCAUUCUGAUUUCGGUGGUAGAUCCGUUGUAGACAGCGAUGAGGAUAGGUCAACUAUAUCCCUACAACUAUCAGACCCGGAUUAUGGUUUGUCUGGAACGUCGAUUUGGAUUGUAGAUUCUGGAUUCUAGGGUUGGUUCUGCGGACAGUCCAUACCCCGUGGGUAAUCAGGCCGCGUGAGGAGUUGGUCCUGCGGACAGCCCAUACUCCGGCGGCGUCGGUGGACGGUGGUUAGGUAAAAGUCACUACAUGACAACGUACAUGGAACGGGCCAGAUCGACGGUGGCUGCGGUGGUGCUGCGAUCUGUUGCGGUGGUAGUACGCGAGUAGGUAGUAGUGUGCGGGUGGCCGCUCUGGGGCGACGAGGUACGGCAUCUCUGGGCGGCAGCAGCUGCGCUCUCUUCCGUGCGGUGUGGUGGAGUGCGGAGAAGGUAGGCCGCGGCGAGGUGUUUGCUACGGGGGUUAUCUCUUGUGCUGUGGCGUUGCGGCGGUAGUAGGCUAGGCCUCUAGGAUCCUAAAGAGGGCCUCGCCGUGUCCGUCCAACUGCUAUUAACGAACUGCUACGGAAGUAGUUCCAUUGCUGCAGCUGCGGCGGUAACGGGCGGUACUGGCCUCAGGCGAACUAAAAGUGGCCGCUGAUACAGAGGGGUUGAGCGGCGGCGACGAUUAUCACCCUAGGUUCUAAGCAAUGAUGGUCAGACCGGUUGGCGGAAGCCACCUCUUCCGUCGGUGGUGGUGGUACGGACCCGGUUCUCUGGGCCUGCAAGAGCACGACGCUUCUAAUGGGUCCCCCUAGAGGAGAACGGCAACAGCUCUGCUCCGCGUCGGCAUCACCUAGAGCUGGAUUUGGGGAGCCCGGGUCUAGUCUAGAGUAGGGUCGGUUUUAGAGUAGGCGGUUUGCCAGCGGCCUCUAGAGAACCGGUGGCGGUUGGGCUACACGUGACGGCAACCUCCUCCUCCCUCUACCUUGCGGCGACGGGGGUGCGCAAUGGUGGCCGGCUCCUAACGCGGCGGCAGCGGCGGAGUGGUGUUCCCGAAGCGGGGCGCGUCAGUAGUCGCUGUCGCCGCCGCCACCCUCCGCUGCCUCCCCCUCCCGACUCCCGCCACACCUGCCCCUGAGGGGCCCCCGCCGCGUCGCGGCGGUGGAGCCCCCUCUCUCCAGCCCCCAGCCCCCUCUCGCCAGGGACUCUUACGUCUUACCUACCUUGCGGCCUGUUCUCCGAUGUCCACUUAGUAGCGCCGACCCCUUCCGGUCUGUCCCCUCUACCGCGGAGUAGACUCUGCGAAGCAGUGACGGCGCCUUGCAGCGGUCAAGCAUUACCGAAACACCACCGGAAGUCCCCGAAUCAGCGGCAGAUACCACCGGUAACAGUGGCGAUGAACAUCCUGAAGGACCCUUAGCAGGCCCAGUACCAACCGUACAUCCUCAGGGGGCCAACCCUAAACUAAGCCUUCGGCUACGUUCCCUAAACCGUUCCUGCCAAACCCCUUCCUGCGUGCUGAACUCCAGAACCCAACCCCUAGAACCUAGUUCCAGU
rnacentral:rRNA from 1 species